rnacentral:tRNA from 1 species
UCCGCCUUGGUGUAAUUGGCAGCACCCUGUCUUUUGGUGUCAGUGGUCCAGGUUCGAGUCCUGGGGGCGGAG